UCUCUCCUUUUGUUUGUCUCACUAAUUUGUUGCGUCUUGUCUCAAAUUAGAUUGUACCAUGAGUUCUCUGGUGCCAGGGCUGUUUCUUCCUAUGCAUUGGCACAGCACCUCGCACAACUGGCCCUGAUCCUGACGGAAGGCUUCGGCCACCACUGCGGUACUAACAACAUGAGUCUGAACUUGAUAAUGUUGCAAAAUUGGGAUCUGAGAUAUACAAACACAUUUCACUGCAGACAACAUAAGACUGGAAAGGAAGCUAAUCCAUUGCUCCACACUUUGCACAGAAACCGACAUAACAGUGAGCUUGAGCCAGUCUCCAGCUCCACAAACACAGGCUGGCCUGAAGCAGACGCAAGAGAGAGACAGAGACAAGGAGAGAAGUGUCCAGGGUACCCACCGUCUGCCAAGCACAUCUGAUCCUUCAAGGUAGCGCUUUAAACUCUGGACAAAGGCGACAGCCCCAUCUAUUCAGCACUGCCCAGCCUAUCCAGGAAAAUAAAUAAUUUUGCACCCUGCUUCCAUCCCGCAAAUUCAGCCAAUUAAAAGAAAGAAAUGCUUUGCUUUUAUCUGCCUCCCAUCUUUGCUCAAGCUGCUGGCAUGAGGAGAAACUCUUAUGUAAAGGGGGUGGGGGGAGAGAGGGGUGUCAAGUAUCCACGUGCGAGUCAUACCAGCUCAGCGGGUUUUCCAGGGCACUAGCCAAGCUACAAACGUGUGGCAAGGUUUUUAAUUAUGUGACCUUCCUGCUUUAAAUAAAAAUCAAAAACACCCCUCUCA